CAUCUUUGAGCAGGCUACUGGGGCUCUUGGCUAGUAUGGAAAUGCAGCUGCUGGAAGAGGAGCCACAGGGAGCAGGCAUAGCUCCUCCUCUGUUACUGAGCCCACUGCUGAUUGGUGCACUGAAAUUACAUCACCCAGAGAGGCAGAAGAAGAGCAAGAUGUCCUCUCCUGUUGGUAGAGGAUUACCAGAAAGAGCUCAAAGCUAAAACAACCAGCAGUGACCCAGUCUAAUGGAUCUGUAGCCUCUUUUGUCAUCACAGGACUAGUGCUUCGGGACCCAACUCAGCAGAUCCAUCAGCAACCUGCUCUUGCCCUCACCAGACAGAAACCCCUCCUUCCCUUCAGUGUAUCAUCACUGAGCAGAUUUGCUUUCAGAUGUCUGUGUUUUGGAUUCAAACCACUGAAGAAAACCCUGUUUCUCAGGGAGAUUUAAUUGCAGGAAUUCAUGUUAACUUAUGUUAAUAUUACCUUUGGCAGAAACACCAUUCCCUUUUGAUAAAUACAGUCUAAAAUGACAGAAGGAGUUGGAAGAACCAGCAUGGUUAUUAUUUUGUCAGGCUGCUGUGUGUGAAGGGAGAUUUCACAGAUAAGAAGUCCCUUAAUGAUCUGCUGUGGUGUCUGGUAAGAUACAGUUUAAGAGGAGUUUUAGCAUAAUGGAGAACAAUUGAUUAUUACUGUAACUCACUCUUCUGUGGCUUUAGGCAGUUGAUGGUUGCUUGAAUUUUUUUCCUAAAAAAUUCAAAAUGCAAAUGACAUUCUUAUAUAUAUAUAUAUAUAUAAAUAAAAAUAUAUAUAUAUACACACUCAUACAUACACACACACAUAUACAUUUACAUAUAUGUGUGUGUGUGUGUGUAUGAAACAUAUAUCUCAAAGUAUUUUUAGUAUCCCUGCUGGUUACUUAGGUUCAUUGAAUUCACUCACCAAAGAAAUUUAUUCCAGUGUCACACUAGUGGAAGCAAGUCAGUAGAGAUGGUCACUGCUAAAAAAUUCUCCUUCUUUGCCCUUGCAGCAUGGUAGAAUUAAUCUUUCAGACCCAAGUGUUUGGAUGGAUGAGUGAAGGAACCUCUUGGUAUUCUGUGCCCACACGAAAACUUUUGAUGCAAACAGAUAUGGACUCCUUCCUGCCCGUGUUCUUCCCUAUCUGUUUACAAUCAGGGCAAAGCUGAGUAAGACCUUAAUUCUUCAGGAAUUUGGCAGACUUUAUAAACAAGUUGAAAAAUGAUAUUCUAAGGGAGCUGGGAUUUCACUGCUGCCUGCCUGAGCAGAAUAGAUGGCUGCUGAGUGCUUUUUGGUAUUCUGAGGACAAUUAGAAUAAACCAGCUGGAUUUUAAGAGCAGCAGGCAGAGUAUCAGUUAAGCGGAUCAUUUAGAAAUGCUUAUUGCUUGUCCUGCCCUUUAUAAAUAUUUUAGAUAUUUAAACUUAAAAUUUUCUUGUGCAAAACUGGCCCUGUAAAAUUUGGCAUCCAAUCCACUAUGAUUGACAAGGCACAUGUAUAUGUUAGAAGAUAGGAGCCCAGAGGCAUAAACACCAGAGUUUUCCAAGAUCCUGUAGAUGUUUUCUUUUGUUUCAGUCCAACUGUUUACCUUCCUAGAGCUGAGCAAAAAUAUCUCCAACCUUACAAAAAUAAUGUACAUAGGUUUUCUCAGGAGAAAAUAGUAGCUGUUCUGAUAAAGUAAGGUCUGUGCACUCUUAAUUCAAUUUAAAAAUGAAAAUAUUAAGACCAUUUCUAUACUGGCUGCCCUUCAGCAGGCACUUAGCUUGAAUUCUGAUUACAGACAUUUCUGAAAUCUGGCUUGUGACAUGCACUAAGCAAGUUUCAUUAGAAGAGAUUUGGACAAUGCUCAGACAAAACUAGAUGCACAUUUAGCUAAAAAAAUAAGGAAGAAAUGGAAAUGUAAAAAAACUGUUCCAAACAAAUGUAAUUGCUGUGUUUUAAAGUGAUGUCCUUUUUUUAGCUCACAAAAUUAUUUCAGACAGAGCAAUGAAUGAUGAAUAAAUUCUUAAAUUACCUGGGUCUGGGCUGGCUUGCAUUGUCUGGGAAGUUUUGCAGUGUCCACACGUGGCACAGGGUAUUUAUCCUCACAGUCAUCCACAUUUGUCUCCGUUGCCCUGUCAGAUUUGCUGUGCGUCAUGCUGGGGGCAGCCAGGGGACAUGCGGAGA